UGAAUCCCGCCCCGGAAGGCUGGCCAGCCACUGGGUAGUGAGUCCUUGGAUCGACGGGAGUAAUCCCCAAGGUUGAAGGGAUUGAGCCUCGAAAGGAUUAGUUGAGAGGGACGACGUUUUAACUUUGACGGAAGUCAAAAUGACCAUUGGCGAAUGGCAAGUCAAUGGCGCCUCUCCGGGGUCUGAGACCA
rfam:Delta proteobacterium NaphS2 ctg_1101087565856, whole genome shotgun sequence.